rnacentral:rRNA from 1 species
AGCAGCCGCGGUAAUUCCAGCUCCAAUAGCGUAUAUUAAAGUUGUUGCAGUUAAAAAGCUCAUAGUUGAAUUUCGGGAUCAAUUUGCUGGUCGUGCCUCUGGUACGUACUGGUAUUAUUGGUUUCUCCCUUCUGACGAACCAUGAUGUCAUUAAUUUAAUGUCGUGGGGAAUCAGGACUGUUACUUUGAAAAAUUAGAGUGUUUAAAGCAGGCAUUAGCUUGAAUACAUUAGCAUGGAAUAAUGAAAUAGGACGUUUGAUCCUAUUUUGUUGGUUUCUAGGAUUGACGUAAUGAUUAAUAGGGAUAGUUGGGGGCAUUAGUAUUCAAUUGUCAGAGGUGAAAUUCUUGGAUUUAUUGAAGACUAACUACUGCGAAAGCAUUUGCCAAGGAUGUUUUCAUUAAUCAAGAACGAAAGUUAGGGGAUCGAAGGCGAUCAGAUACCGUCGUAGU